rnacentral:rRNA from 1 species
UACAGAGGGGGCAAGCGUUAUUCGGAAUUAUUGGGCGUAAAGGGCGCGUAGGCGGCUUUGCAAGUGACGGGUGAAAUCCCUCGGCUUAACCGAGGAACUGCCUGUCGGACUGCAUGGCUUGAGACCAGGAGAGGUGAGUGGAAUUCCCAGUGUAGCGGUGAAAUGCGUAGAUAUUGGGAGGAACACCAGUGGCGAAGGCGGCUCACUGGACUGGUACUGACGCUGAGGCGCGAAAGCGUGGGGAGCAAACAGG